GUACAUAUUUCAAUAUAAAAAGCCCAAGGUCAUUAAUGGAACUUCGAAAUCAAUGAUGAAAAAUCACUAGAAUUGUGAAGAACCAUUCAUGCUACGAUGCUAUAAAUACUCACUCCAGUACUUCCUUUUAUAAGGAAAAAAUUGCCAUUAGGCAUUUUUAUACAGUUUCUUAUCUAAAUCCACUGUACUUUGAAAAAUGGGAUCACGAUUUGAGGUGGAAGUGAAGAUCUCAUCGGCUAAGGAUUUGAAGAACGUGAAUUGGCGUUACGGCCGUCUCAAGCCCUAUUCUGUUGUUUGGAUUGACCCUAAAGCUAAAUGCUCCACAAAAGUCGACGAAAAUGGUGACAUGUCCCCUUACUGGGACGAAAAACUCGUGAUUCCUUUGUAUUCUCCGAUCGAGGAAUCCACCUUGUACAUCGACGUCGUUCACGCUAACGCCGAAAAAGAUACCAAGCCUCUCAUUGGCUCCGCCAAGCUUCACCUCCGUGACGUCGUCGAUACUGUCGGCAUCGGCAACUGUUGUGAGCGUUCACUCGAUUUGAAGCGUCCUUCUGGUCGCCCUCAAGGGAAGGUGAAAGUUGAGGUCAGCGUUCGUGACCCGCGCUAUCGUGCGCCGGAUCCGUAUUAUGCGCCUCCUUACGGUGUUCCACCACCUGGAUCGCGGGAUUAUCCGGCUGCUCCGCCUCAACCUUACGGCGGAUCGUACGGUGCUCCUUCACCUGCUCCCUCUGCUGCGCCGCCGCAACCUUACGGCGGAUCGUACGGUGCGCCUGCUCCCUACGCUGCGCCGCCGUCGGGUUAUCCGUACAGCGCCGCUCCUGCUCCGGCACCUUAUGGUCAACAACAACCGAAUUACGGUGCUCCUCCUGCGCCGUACUCUCAGGGAGGUAGUUACGGGCAGCCCGGUUACUCGAUGGGAACUUACGGGCAGCAGCAGGGGAAUUACGGGCAGGCAAGCUAUGGGCAGCAAUCAGGGUACAAGUGCGAGGAGGAGAAGAAGAAGGGCAAGUUUGGAGGAAUGGGGUUGGGAGCAGGAUUGGCUAUGGGUGCGGUUGCAGGGGCAUUGGGUGGACUCGCGAUUUCGGAGGGUAUUGAUCACAUAGAGGAUAACAUCGCAGAUAAGGCUGCCGAGAAGGUUGAGGAUGAUCUCGCCGAUGAUGAUUAUGAUGGUGAUGAUUUCUAGGAAAAUUACCUACCAUCUUUGAUCUAGUUAACUUUGAUUUGCAUUUUCUAUGGUAGGAUUAUCCUGCAAGCUAAAAACUGGGUUCUUUAACCUUGAAAACAAAAGCUUGUAGACUUUAUGAUUUUAAUUAUUGUUUGAUGUAAUAUGUUUUGUCGUGACGAACACAUAAACAUGUAAUGUAUGCAAGUUGUUGCUAUCAAUUUGGAUGUUUACGUCCAAACUUCCAUUUGGCAGAUUUGCGAUCCGAUUAUGAUGGUGAUGAUUUCUAGGAAAUUACAUACCAUCUUUGAUCUAGUUAACUUUGAUUUGCAUUUUCUAUGGUAGAAUUAUCCUGAAAGAUAAAAAUUGGGUUCUUUAAAGCUUGUAAACUUUAUGCUUUUAAUUGUUGUUCGAUGUAAUAUGUGAAGUGUCGAACACAUAACAUGUAAUGGACAAAAGUUGUUGCUAUCAAUUUGGAUGUGUAUGUCCAAACUUACAUUA
rnacentral:lncRNA from 1 species